AAACUUACCUGGCAGAGGAGAUACUAUGAUCGCAAAGGUGGUUUUCCCAGGACAAGGCUCAUUCGUUGCUGUAUUAGUCCGUUUUCACACUACUGUAAAGAAUGCCUGAGACUGGGUAAUCAUAAAGGAAAGAAUUUUUUUUUUUUUCUUU
ensembl:snRNA U1 U1 spliceosomal RNA